UACGUAGGGUCCGAGCGUUGUCCGGAAUUACUGGGCGUAAAGAGCUCGUAGGUGGUUUGUCGCGUUGUUCGUGAAAACUCACAGCUCAACUGUGGGCGUGCGGGCGAUACGGGCAGACUUGAGUACUGCAGGGGAGACUGGAAUUCCUGGUGUAGCGGUGGAAUGCGCAGAUAUCAGGAGGAACACCGGUGGCGAAGGCAGAUCUCUGGGCCGUAACUGACGCUGAGGAGCGAAAGCGUGGGGAGCGAACAGG
rnacentral:rRNA from 1 species